UACACUCCUGCGGGAGGCAGCAGUGGGGAAUAUUGCACAAUGGGCGCAAGCCUGAUGCAGCCAUGCCGCGUGUAUGAAGAAGGCCUUCGGGUUGUAAAGUACUUUCAGCGGGGAGGAAGGCGAUAAGGUUAAUAACCUUGUCGAUUGACGUUACCCGCAGAAGAAGCACCGGCUAACUCCGUGCCAGCAGCCGCGGUAAUACGGAGGGUGCAAGCGUUAAUCGGAAUUACUGGGCGUAAAGCGCACGCAGGCGGUCUGUCAAGUCGGAUGUGAAAUCCCCGGGCUCAACCUGGGAACUGCAUUCGAAACUGGCAGGCUAGAGUCUUGUAGAGGGGGGUAGAAUUCCAGGUGUAGCGGUGAAAUGCGUAGAGAUCUGGAGGAAUACCGGUGGCGAAGGCGGCCCCCUGGACAAAGACUGACGCUCAGGUGCGAAAGCGUGGGGAGCAAACAGGAUUAGAAACCCUAGUAGUCCCAUGAU
rnacentral:rRNA from 1 species